UUAAUUUGAUGUAAAGUGAAGAACCUUACUUGGGCUUGAUAUGUCGCGAGUCCUCUUAAAAUAGAGGGCUGCCUUUGGGAACGUGGACACAGGUGAUGCAUGACUGUUGUCAGCUCAUGCUGUAAGGUGUUGGGUUAAGGCCCGCAACGAGCGCAACUCUCAUGUUAGAUGUAAGGCCCAAAUUUUGCCCGGGGCC
rnacentral:ncRNA from 1 species